CGUGCGAAAGUGGGAAGAUCGAAUUCAGUUCUUCUAACUAAAGAAUAAAAUGAAAAUUAUUUUCAUUUUGUAAGAUACGCAGAAAAUCCGCUCAUGAUGUGAAUCCAUACGAUCGCUUAGCGUCGAGAGCCUAUAUGAUAGUGCCCAUCGUCCUAAACAAUCACAUAUCCGCGCAUUAAACGAUCGCCAUCGAUAUCUAAAUGAUCGCUUAAGUUUACUACAUGAUCACUUAACACGCCGAGUGAACCUAAACGAUCACUUACUAUUUGCUAGACGAUCGCUUAGCAAAACCUAUACGAUUGUGUACCUUACCUAAACAACAAGCACCCGACUAUACAAUAGUUUUCUACUAUCUCCCACUUGCUUGUUCGUACUACACGAUCGUCUUUUCCUCCUCCCUCUACCAAUUCUAUUAAAGUCCCUUUGGAUUCUUAUUCCACGAAUACCGAGGGCUUCGAGUGGUGGUGUCGUCCCCGGUUGUUGUUGGUUCGUGUGCUGUCGAUCGUGUAGACAACCGUGGUGCUGUUAGGUGACUAUUUACUGGGUGACAAGGAUCGUAGAGAAAUUUGCUUCCAUUGGAUUGAGUUCGAGUGAAGAUUGUCUUCAACUGUGUUUCUUCAUGUUCGAGGUAGACGAUUGGGAGUUGUUGAACGAUAGCUUGCCGUUCCAGUGAAAGCGAGAUUUGUUGUGAAGAAAAGUCUUUAACUGGAAACCCCAAAUAGUGAUGAUCAUAGAGAAAAAACUCCACAAAAUAAGAGAUUUAAAAGUGUUUAAAAUCAAUGAUUCCAAUGUGGUAUGAAGCGACAUUGCUCUCGUUCCUAUCAUACUUCCAAACACUUAGUUGAUCUCCAUCAAGCCUCAUUGAAGGAGAAAGGAAAAAAAAUGUGGAAAUAAACUUUGCAUACCAAGAUGAUAUAUUUAACCCUUUCAAUAUGACGCAUUUGGAUGUUGUUGACUUCUUUG